GACGAACGCUGGCGGCGUGCUUAACACAUGCAAGUCGAACGGAAAGGCCUGCUUUCCCUUGUGGAUUGCGGGUACUCGAGUGGCGAACGGGUGAGUAACACGUGAGUGAUCUGCCCCCAACUUGGGUAUAAGCCUGGGAAACUGGGUCUAAUUCCCGAUAGGACUGCAGGGUGGUGCCUGUGGUGGAUAACGAUUUUCUAGUGGUUGGGGAUGAGCUCGCGGCCUAUCAGCUUGUUGGUGGGGUAAUGGCCUACCAAGGCGGCGACGGGUAGCCGGCCUGAGAGGGUGGGCGGCCACAUUUAGACUGAGAUACGGCCCAGAGUCCUACGGGAGGCAGCAGUGGGGAAUAUUGCACAAUGGGCGGAAGCCUGAUGCAGCGACGCCGCGUGGGGGAUGACGGCCUUCGGGUUGUAAACUCCUUUCGACCGCGAGGAAGCCACCUGGUUGGAAGGGUGGUGACGGUAGUGGUAGAAGAAGCACCGGCUAACUACGUG
rnacentral:rRNA from 1 species